rnacentral:rRNA from 1 species
GAUGAACGCUGGCGGCGUGCCUAAUACAUGCAAGUCGAGCGAACAGACGAGGAGCUUGCUCCUCUGACGUUAGCGGCGCACGGGUGAGUAACACGUGGAUAACCUACCUAUAAGACUGGGAUAACUUCGGGAAACCGGAGCUAACACCGGAUAAUAUAUUGAACCGCAUGGUUCAAUAGUGAAAGACGGUUUUGCUGUCACUUAUAGAUGGAUCCGCGCCGCAUUAGCUAGUUGGUAAGGUAACGGCUUACCAAGGCGACGAUGCGUAGCCGACCUGAGAGGCUGAUCGGCCACACUGGAACUGGGACACGGUCAAGACUCCUACGGGAGGCAGCAGUAGGGAAUGGUCGGCAAUGGGCGAAAGCAUGACAGAGCAACGCCGCGCGUGUGAUGAAGGUCUUCGGAUCGUAAAGCUCUGUUAUUAGGGAAGAACAAAUUUGUACGUAACCGUGCAGGUAUUGACGGUACCGGAUCAGAAAGCAACGGCUAACUACGUG